GAUGAACGCUGGCGGCGUGCCUAAUACAUGCAAGUCGAGCGAACGGACGAGAAGCUCGCUUUUCUGAUGUUAGCGGCGGACGGGUGAGUAACACGUGGAUAACCUUCCUCUUAGACUGGGAUAACUUCGGGAAACCGGAGCUAAUACCGGAUAAUAUUUUGAACCGCAUGGUUCAAAAGUGAAUGACGGUUUUGCUGUCACUUAUAGAUGGAUCCGCGCUGCAUUAGUUAGUUGGUACGGUAACGGCUUACCAAGGCGACGAUGCAUAGCCGACCUGAGAGGGUGAUCGGCGACACUGGAACUGAGACACGGUCCAGACUCCUACGGGAGGCAGCAGUAGGGAAUCUUGCGCAAUGGGCGAAAGCCUGACGGAGCAACGCCGCGUGGGUGAUGAAGGUCUUCGGAUCGUAAAACUCUGUUAUUAGGGAAGAACAUAUGUGUAAGUAACUGUGCACAUCUUGACGGUACCUAAUCAGAAAGCCACGGCUAACUACGUG
rnacentral:rRNA from 1 species